UUCGAAACUUCUUUGCACACCGUUCUCUUCCUUCUCUCUUUAAAGAAAAACGGAAACGCGUUUUCGAAACCGCUUUGCACACCGUUCUCUCUCUUCUUCCCACCAAGUUCCUGACUCCAGCAAGACUCCAGCAAGUUAUGAUAAAAUGGAAGAGUUAGCUGAAGUAACUGUUUGUAAAAUAAUGGCAACAAAAAAUGUUGGCCUUGUGAUGCUGCUGUCCUUUUCCUUGAUGACCUAUUGAGCUACUGGUUGAAGAGGCGAAGAAGGGAUCAAAGAAAACCACUACUCUUUCGAGUUCGGGACGGAAAACGGUCGAGCAAGCACACAGAAAAAUUCGAUAAGGAGUUUACUCAUGACCAAGUAAAGAACAAGUACAGCCAGUUGAGGUUGAGGCAGAGGAAUUUCAAGAACUUGGUUAAAGAAACCGUGAUUGGUUAUGAUUCCACAACAGGGAAAGUUGAAGCAGUUGAUGAACACUGGAGGAUGUUGGAUACCAGCAGUGUGAAACUUGAAACUUCAAGAGAUCCAUGACAAAAUUUUCAAGAAGGAAGCUGUAUUCUAGACCAGAAAAGGUAUUUCUCUGUGGCUCCAAGUUUUGUGGACAAACUUUUCUGCCCAAAACUCGCAUGUUAAUACUAUGCUAUAGUUGAGUAGAAUAGGUUUUCAGGGCAUUGUUAUAUGAUUUUAGGAAAAAGAUGUAUUAUUUGGCUGACACUAAAAACCAAAAUGGACUAGUUUUGUGAUUAACCAUGCCCAUGCACGUUGACAAUGUCUUGUGUUUGUUUCUGCACUUUAUACCUCUUCUACCAAGCUUUGUAAAGUUGCUAGAGGUUGAGUCUCGCCAUUUUCUUUCAAAGAAGCGAGCAUAUCUAUCCCCAUAACAAAUUGCUCGUCGACCAAACAAGUUCCCGCUUUCAGUUUUCAGUUUUCAGAAGGAUAAAAAACCCAGCAACCAUACCAAAUGGCCAUAAAAGAAGUUGCAGUUAACAAGAUAGUAACAGACACCCUGAUCAGUUCAGCCUAUGAACACCAGAAAAGAAUUUGCCAGAAGAAAAAAAUGUAGGAGAUGAGAAAGGAUUGGCAAAUCAGUAAUACAAGUUCACUAGCAUGUUUUACAAAAAGAAAUUCUCUAAUUCAAAUCAAUAGACAGUCAAUUACUGCUUCGUUAAUCUCCUUUUACUUCUGCCAAUUCUACAUUUGCACAUGCAUAUGUUGAUUAACCUGUUGCCAGGAUUAUUGCUGAACCAUAAUGAUGCCAACAAAA